GUCACCAUCUGUCCCCCAAAACCCAGAAUAAACUGUGUGCAGCCACCACAAUCCCCACUCGUGGUUAUGGACAAAGCUGGCAGUGGGAGCACACACCACCAUAGAGGUGUCUUGCCUUCAUUGGAUGAGUCCUGGAACCUCAUUGGAAUCCAAACACACCUGAGGCUAGGAAUGGCAGUGGUGAUGCUUGUGACAGGCUGAGGAGCCUGUGGAGUUUAUUCCAUAGCCUGAGGACAUGCCAAGCAAGGGACUGUUUCAUUCACAAGUGACUGACAAUGUCGUGUGCCUGAGGAGAGUCAGAGCCAGCUAUGCAUUUCAAUUUCAAGGUUUAAGUGUCUCUCAAAGGAGCCAGACAAUCAUCUUUUGAGAGCAUCGUGAAGAA